CACCCCCCCCCCUUCUCGGCAGCGGCUUUCCCCUUGCCCACUAAUGCGCUGCUCACACAUGGAGUCGCGGCGUCACCCGGCGGAGCAUGCGCGGGGCAGGGCCCGUCCUGGGCCGCGGGGACGGGCCGGGGCCGGAGCAGCAGCAGGAGCAGUAGGAGCAGUGGUAGCAGUAAAAGCAGUGGUAGCAGUAGAAGCAGUGGCAGCAGGAGCAGCAGCAGCAGCCGCGCGGGGGCCCGGCGCCGCUUCCGGGCAAUGGUGGAGCAAGUUUGUAGGUCCCGUGAAAAGACGGGGAGCCUGCUCAGUGGGUUACAACCACUUGUUUAUACCCCGCACCCGAGCACAGAGGAUUUCAGACAGCAAUGGUCUCACGGACAGCACAUCACCCGAAAUUUGGCCAACUUCUUUUUGUUUUACAUAA
rnacentral:lncRNA from 1 species